CUCUGGAAUGGUUUUUAUACAAAGAGCUUCUAUACCCCUACUACCCCACCAAUUCCAGCAGCAGGAGACCAGCAAACAGGUUUUCUCACUCCUUGAUCCUGGAAAAAAGUCUCACUCAAGAGAUGCAGCAGGUUGGUGGAGACUCCAGGCUUGGCAAGUACCUCCAGGCUAAGUCCCACAAACCAAAGCAGUUGAGUAGAGAUGCCACUUUGGGUCUUGGCCACCAGGAAGACUCUGAAGAGAGAUCCCCUGAGAAGGAAGGUAAAAAGGGACGUGGCAGGAAAAAAACCUCCAGUUAACUGCAAGGUUCCAGUCAAUCAAAAACUUAUUAUGAGUAGCAGUGAAUAUUGCCAACAAUUGGUAUUUCCCAAGACCAAGGGGAUGUGUUUUUUGUGUAUGUAUGUGGGAAAUAAAUUAGGUUUUGUGGCAUCUCACUGGCACUGCCAGGCAAAGGAGUGUACAAGUAUCUCUGAGGGAAAUCCUUCAUUCUCCAGUUUGGAAAAUACCAACUGCCCAUUGAUCUCAAUCUCAAAGGCUCCGGUGCCCCCAAGCUGAACCACUUGCCAGGAGUCUGUACAAGUAUGGAUCAGCCUAGUUGACCUCUGAGGUCCUUUCCAGUCCCGAGAGUCUUGGAUUCUCUGAAAUGAAUUGGUGGGAUGGACUGAAAAGAGGCAUUUUGUAACAAGAACAAGAGAAGGAAGAAUCCAUGGCUGGACUUGUUACAUUUUGUGUAACCUUAGGGCGGUCACGUCAUCUCUCUUUGGCUUAGGUCUGCUUUGAGUCUCUGCAGUGUAUUGAUGUCCUACAGUAGUAAUUUUUAAUGUUGGAGUCUAUAAACUUAAAAGAAAUAUUUUGACAACUA
rnacentral:lncRNA from 1 species